AGCUGAUGUCAAAUGAUUUGUUAAUUUGCUUGUUAAUAUAUAAUUACUAAUCAAAGUAAUGCCCUUGUGUUCAUUUUAGUUUUGCAGUUGCAUUUAGUGGUAGUUCAUCUUGACCUUAAUUGGUUGCCCUUAUUGCGCAGGAUGAGGUUAUCCAAUUUGGUGGUCAGAUUGAGCCGCCUGGAAUGCACAUGAUUUAUCUUCCGUGUUAUGAUGACAUCAGACUUGUUGAAGAGAUACUAGUGGGGUGGUGACUAAAGCAAGUUAUAUAUGAUCAAAUAAAAUGGGCAGCUGAGUAUGGCUUGAAAAUAUGUUUGUAAUUGGGAAGCAUCCCUCACCUCACAAGCCAAUUUUGUAAAGUUGAGUAAGUAUUAAGAAUUUCUGUAUAUAGUGGCUUAAUAAUCGUUGCUGCUACCUAGUAGGAGUUUUGCACUUCUAUUCAAUAUUUCACCAAAUCUCGUUCAGCUUAUUCAUUUGCUUGAAGAAAAAACUCCAAUGGUAUAAGCUGAGAUUUUUUAGAAGAAAUUAAAUGUUAUUUGUAUUGAUGUUCUAAGGUUUUCCUAUACCCCAGUUAAUUAGAGUGUUCUUGAUAUGCAUUAGAAACACGUAUAUAUCAUGGAAAUGUAUCGAGGAACUAACCAUAUAGAUCAGUGUUCUUCCUCUCAGGGAGCAGACAAAGGAGAAACUUGGGAGCCCCAGGAAGUUUAGACUGAACGGGUUCAAGCAUUUUCUCAACUCUGACCACAGGCGGAGCAAGCCUAACCUGACCAUUUUCUUCAAAGACAUCAAAAGGUUGUUCAACAAGUUACCAAGAGCAAACGAAACAGAAUGGAGUUAGCCCCUAUCUAUAUUUCAGUAAAUAUGCUGUAAUAGAACUUACAAUUCCUUUCAUUCCUCCACAUUUGAUCAGAACCCUCACAAGUCCCUGCACAUCAUAUCGCGCAGAAAAGUUCACCACAUACCAUUUCUCUAUUUUAACAGGUUGCACAAUUUUCUGGGAACAGUAUUCGAAUCAUUAGGAAAAAUAUGUUAUAGAUGACAAACGCCAAAAAAAUAAAAAUGUAACUUAGAUUUGACACAAA